GAGGAAUAUUGGGCAAUGCCCGAAAGGGUGACCCAGCAACGCCGCGUGGAGGAUGAAGGUCGUAAGAUUGUAAACUCCUGUUAGAGGGGAAGAAUAACUAAGUUUGGAGCUUAGUAUGACUGUACCCUCAGAGAAAGCCCCGGCUAACUACGUGCCAGCAGCCGCGGUAAUACGUAGGGGGCAAGCGUUGUCCGGAUUUACUGGGUGUAAAGGGCGCGCAGGCGGAAUGGAAAGUCAGUGGUGAAAUCCUACAGCUUAACUGUAGAACUGCCUUUGAUACUUUCAUUCUUGAGUUCGGGAGAGAGAGACGGAAUUCCAGGUGUAGUGGUGAAAUACGUAGAUAUCUGGAAGAACACCAGUUGCGAAGGCGGUCUCUUGGUCCGAUACUGACGCUGAGGCGCGAAAGCGUGGGGAACAAACA
rnacentral:rRNA from 1 species